GACUGAUCCAACCUGGGGGCUGCUGUAAGAGGGGGGCGAGGGGGACAACCUGUCUGCACAAGAGCAGAAGGAACAUCAGCAGCACGUCCGCCUGGUCCUUCAGCGCCUCCUCGAGAACAGUUUAUUCGUCAAGGCAGAGAAAUGUGAGUUCGAUUCAUCAUCGGUAAACUUCCUGGGUCACAUCAUCGAGAGGGGUAUCAUCCGAGCCGACCCCAAGAAGGUCAAGGCAGUGGUGGAGUGACCUCAACCAACCACUCGUACUGAGCUUAGGAGAUUCCUAGGCUUUGCAGGAUUCUACCGGCGCUUCAUUCUCAACUUCAGCAAGGUAGCCGCGCCUCUCCACGCGCUUACAUCUACCAUUAAAGUUUUCGUUUGGAACAAGGAGGCGGACAGUGCAUUCCAGAGCCUCUAGAGGAGCUUCAGUUCCGCUCCAAUCUUGGUACACCCUGACCCUGACAAGUCGUUCACUGUGGAGACGCCUAUCCCCAGCCGAAAGGAACUACGAUGCAGGGAACAGAGAACUGUUGGCCGUCCACGAAGCGUUGGUCGAAUGGAGACACUGGUUGGAGGGGACCAAGCAUCCGUUCCUGGUCCUGACCGACCACCGUAAACUCAUCCACAUCCGUUCCGCUAAAAGACUUAAUGACAGGCAAGCACGCUGGACACAGUUUUUUGCCUGAUUUGACUACACUCUCACCUACAGACCCGGUUCACGCAAUGGCAAGGCAGACGCUCUUUCGCGGAUGUUCUCAGAGGAACCCACCGUUAGAUCUACUACUGAGACCAUCCUUCCCCCGAACUGCAUCUUCGCGACAAGCGCACCACGGGCCACGGCUACGGGCGUUCCCUCUACCCUGCGAGCGCGCCUCCACGCGGCUGCAUGAUAUCUGCAAACUACCAGCCUUCAUAAACCAGCGCGUCUUGAGAUCCAAUGCCAGAAGCUUCCUGUCGCCCUUCCUUGUCGUCAAGCUGUGUGUCUCGUUUCCCUGGACCCCUUGUGGAUUUCCCCUUGCCUUCCUGGACUUCGACCUCACGCCUGCCCACUGACCACGACGCCUCGCUCCUGUCCUCGACCAUCCGCCUGCCUUCCGACUCUCAAGCCUGCCUUGCCCUUAUUGGACUUCCGCCUCGAUCUCAACACGCACCCUCAACACCCUCUGUAAAUCAACGCUUAGAUAAUACUCACACCAGUGACGUGCGGUGAGGUUCAUGGCUGGUGAAGCACUGACUUCAUCACAGUCAGAUUUACAAACAUAUCAACCCUAAAGAGUAUCUUAUUCACCAUUUGAUUGGCAGCAGUUAACGGUUUAUGUUUAAAAGCUCAUACCAGCAUUCUUUACACUUACAAACUGUCGCACACAAAAAAGCACAUUUAAUUAAAAAAACUUUAUUAUGGUCUUACCUUUACUUAUAAAUUAAUCCACACAGCCAGCCUUUUCAUGUGUACCACGCCGUUUGAAAAGAACGGGU